rnacentral:rRNA from 1 species
GAUGAACGCUGGCGGCGUGCCUAAUACAUGCAAGUCGAGCGAACGGACGAGAAGCUUGCUUCACUGAUGUUAGCGGCGGACGGGUGAGUAACACGUGGAUAACCUACCUAUAAGACUGGGAUAACUUCGGGAAACCGGAGCUAAUACCGGAUGAUAUUUUGAACCGCAUGGUUCAAAAGUGAAAGACGGUCUUGCUGUCACUUAUAGAUGGAUCCGCGCUGCAUUAGCUAGUUGGUAAGGUAACGGCUUACCAAGGCAACGAUGCAUAGCCGACCUGAGAGGGUGAUCGGCCACACUGGAACUGAGACACGGUCCAGACUCCUACGGGAGGCAGCAGUAGGGAAUCUUCCGCAAUGGGCGAAAGCCUGACGGAGCAACGCCGCGUGAGUGAUGAAGGUCUUCGGAUCGUAAAACUCUGUUAUUAGGGAAGAACAUAUGUGUAAGUAACUGUGCACAUCUUGACGGUACCUAAUCGGAAAGCCACGGCUAACUACGUG